ensembl:snRNA U6 U6 spliceosomal RNA
GUGCUCACUUUGGCAGCACAUAUGCUAAAAUUGGAACAAUAGAGAGAAGAUUAGCAUGCCCCUGUGCAAGGAUAACAUGCAAAUUCAUGAAGCAUUCCAUAUUUUA